rnacentral:lncRNA from 1 species
AAGUGUAUGAUCGAAUGUAGUUGAGUUUUCAUCUGUAGUUUCUUAACCUACUACAUACAAUACUGGUUAAUAAUCGUUAGCCGUGAUCGAACGAACCAUCGGCUCUCUCUCUCUCUCUCUCUCUCUCUCUCUCUCUCUCUCAUGUGGGAAUGAAUGUACCUGAGAUUAUAUGUAUGUAUGUUUUGUUUUGCUUGUUUUCUAAAUAAAACACAACUAUAUAUGUUGUCGAUCUGUUCUGUUUUUUUCUUCGAUUUUCCCUUAUGAUUUCAAUCUUUCUUCAAUGGAGAAAAAAAAUUGAGAGGUUACAAUUAGUACGUAUUUACAUCCUCCUACAGGUAAUAGGUUUCAAUGAUCAUAAUAAUACAAUUACACCUAUAUGAAUUGUAUAAUAGGGCACGUUUUUACUGCGGUUCCAUCCUUAUCCACGAGAUGGGGUACGAUUUACGUCCCGUCACCUUGCCGCGAACUGUUUGCUGCGUCGGCUGUACACACGAUCGGUCACACAAACAGUUCGGUUCACGAUUUGAAAUCCGUCGAUGGGUUCCGAAUGACGACGACGAUUUGAAAUCAUACAUGAUGCUGGCGAUGGGUCCACGCUGGACAUCCGUCAGAAUCAUACGUGCGUCCAAAUCGAAAUUCGGAAACAGCCCAUACGUCGCACUGUUUGUCAUGACGGUUCUCUCGACGAUGUGGUGGCAGUGUCAAUCCGAGCCCGUCCGUAGUGGAAGUGGAUUGUUGUAUAAUAAUGAAGAUUUGGAAGAUGGAAAUGUUUUCCGGCCAUAUGGUUGGUUUGAAUGAAUAUAAUAAUUUCAUUCCUUGGUCAAUAGUCAAAUAUUUUCAUUCCUUAAUUUUAAAUCGAGUCAAUGGUCAAAUUCAACAAUUGACAUAGAAACAUGCAUGUGUUUAACUUUUUUGUAUUAUAUAGAUUCCAU